rnacentral:rRNA from 1 species
GACGAACGCUGGCGGCGUGCUUAACACAUGCAAGUCGAACGGAAAGGCCCUGCUUGCAGGGUACUCGAGUGGCGAACGGGUGGGUAACACGUGGGUGAUCUGCCCUGCACUUCGGGAUAAGCCUGGGAGACUGGGUCUAAUACCGGCUAGGAGCCAUUUUUAGUGUGAUGGUUGGAAAGUUUUUUCGGUGUAGGAUGAGCUCGCGGCCUAUCAGCUUGUUGGUGGGGUAAUGGCCUACCAAGGCGGCGACGGGUAGCCGGCCUGAGAGGGUGGACGGCCACAUUGGGACUGAGAGACGGCCCAGACUCCUACGGUAGGCAGCAGUGGGGAAUAUUGCACAAUGGGCGCAAGCCUGAUGCAGAGACGCCGCGUGGGGGAUGACGGCCUUAGGGUUGUAAACUCCUUUCGCUAGGGACGAAGCUUUUUGUGACGGUACCUAGACAAGAAGCACCGGCUAACUACGUG